GCGGCGCCACGGUCUUCGGGGUCACAGGGAAGAGAAGGGCUCUCCUCAAGCGGGUGGAAGGAGGGAGGCCUCCCGAGGGAAUGAGACUCCAGGCCACUCCCCCGCAGCAAGGCAGGAUCACCUGCGUCGCGGAGAGCAGUUAGAGGUCCCUGGAGUGGAAAAGGGCAGUGGGACCUGGUAGCUUGGGUUCCCUGCAACUUGGGGUUCGACCUCCAGGCAAUGAAGUAGGGAUGGUCCUGCAAGUCAAGAUUCCAGUAGCAAGAGUGCAUCAGAUCUCUGUAAGGAAAAUAACUAACAUUGCUCAGUUCCCUGUAGAGUUGCAGGGCGCUUUGACGUUAUCUCCCUUGGUUCUCCAUCAGGUCGUAGUGGACUAAUUUUACAGGCGAAGUUAAGUGACUUACCCAAAACCUCACAGCUAAUAAACGGCAGAGCCGGCACCCAGCUGUACUGGCUUCCAGCGCAUCCCAUUAUCUCCAUAAAUCCCCCUGAUUCAACUAAUAUUAGACGCCCCACAGGUAAGAUGCUUCAGAGUUAGAGGGGAGUUGAAGAUACCUUUGCCUUCAAAGAAGUAAGGAAUGAAACAAAGAUAAAACAGACAAUAAAAGACAAACCAUGAUAGGUGCCACGUGAAAAGUGGCAGAGUACUGCCGGGAAUCAAAGAACCGUGUAUAUCUGUCUUGGGGAUAAGGAAAGAAACGCAGCAUGAAGGAGUAGGCAUUUGGGAUUGACCUUGAAGGAGACAGGGAGAGUUUUACAGCAAGAAGGGAUAGCAUGAGAAUAUAUAUGAAGGCGAAUCAGUGAAAGUUGUGUUGGGGAAAGAGCAAAGACUCCAGGUAUGUUGAGAGGUAGAAAAGACAAAGGAGUAUGGGGCCUAAGAUACCAAAUGGAUGAAUUUAUAUUUAAUUCAGUAUUUUGAGUUUUUAUGGUUCAGAAGUUUGGGGGAAGAAAAGGAAGGUUUUUUUUUUCUUUAUGCUAGUGAUUUAUCUGUGAAGGGAAGCAGAAAUCAGAGGUGGAAAAACUGACAGAUCUACUGUAGGCCAGGUAAAAGGUAAUGAUGAGUCUGACCUAAAGGGACAGCCAGGGGAAUUUAAAGAGCAUAGUUGAGAGAUGAUGUGCAUGCAGAAUCUAUAGAAUUUGCUAACUGAUUGAUUAAUUGUGGGUAGGAAGAGAGAAAUCAAAGAAAGUGGAGGUUUUGAGUUUCUAGAUAAUUGCAAGAGAGAAAAGAGACAAUUACAAAGGAAAGGAGAAGGAGCUACUUCUUGAGAGAAGAUCAGUUUAGAUUUAGACAUUUUAAGAAUUCAAAGGGUUGUCAAGACAGCCAGACGGACAUGGACACUAAUAAGUUAGAAAUAAAGGUUUUGUAAUAUGGGAAAGAGGACUGAGCUAGAAAAUAGACUCAUAGAUAAUCAGCCUAGGAGUGAUAUUGCUGUGAGAUAAAAGAAGAAAACAAAGUCAGAAUCUUGGAAAACACCCUCUUCAGAGUCUCGCUGCUCAAAACGUGGUCAGUGGCCCAGCAGCACUGACAUGAGGACCUUAGUUGGAAACUCAGAAUCUCAGGCUCCACCCCAGACCUGCUGAACCAGCAUCUUCAACUUAACAAGAACCCGAAGAGAUUUGUGCCACAUCAAAAAGUUUGAGAAGCUCUGAUCUAGGUGAGCCAAGCCAGCAAAGAAAGGGGGUGGAGCAGAAAAUGGGAGGAGAAUAGGGUAAUGCAGAAUCAUCAAGACAAGGUAAAUUGGACUUUCACAAAAACGGGGCUGGAAGGAGUGUUGCUCAACAAUAUCCAAAACCACAGAGGUUGAAAAGCACAAGGAAAGAAGCUGGACCCUGGACACGGUGACUCUGAUUCAAUUAUGCAGAUGACCACAAGCCUCUGGGGUUGGCAGAGCCACAAGAAAGAAGGUGCCUGGAUGAAGGAGAGCUACCCACUGACCUGGACACCCAAUUAUAGGAUAGACAGUGAAGUGCAACUACAGCCCGCAAAUGAAAAUGAAUAAAAUUAAUCCAGCCCCUCAAGGCAGUCAUCUGUCUUAGAGCUAUUGGAAUCCUGGAUCAUUGUGGGAAAUGAAAAAUACUUCGAUGGAAUCAGCAGCCAUUGAUCCAAUGCCAACUCCAAGACUGGAACGUCGCAAUGAUAGUUCCAAGGCGGAAAUUUGACGUAAUUCUUUUCGACACAGUUUUACAGGUGUGACACCAUGAAGUCGUCCCACAUUUCCCACAACCUGAAUUUGGGAUGACAGUCGACUGAGAUUUUGUAAACUGAUUAUCAUCUGUUUCUGUUUUAUUCUCAUUACCUAACAUAUGCCCACUGGGGGGUGCUAAAGAACUAUGAAUUGGAGGUCUGGAUGCCCAUUUUAAUUCUUCUGAAAGCAUGCCUCCUUCUGGCUUCAGGACUCCAUCUCCAGCCUUAUGAUCUAAAAAUAAUCCCCAAACCAAAAAAUUAGAUAUUAUUUCCUCAAAAUUAGGUGUUUUAAUCAAAACAUCUUAACAUAAAUACAUUAUUAUCACCCAAUAUGCAUAAUGUUGUUCAACUUUUUUGUUAAAUGACUUAUUUUAGAUGAACAGAUGUGUGAAUAUGAAUAUUUUUAUUUCACUUACAGGCAUCUUGCAUGUGAAUAACUCACAACUUUAAUUCAUGGAACAAAUUGAGAAAUAGUCUUUUGGGGGUUUGGUACUCCCUGGAAACAUAAGAGUGCUUUGGGCACCUCUGGUGCCUUUCCAUGCCUGCCUUCUCUGCUGUUCUUGCUACUAGUGAAUUCUAAAUCAUGGCCAAGUGAUGCCAGCACUGGAUAAUAUUGGCUCUGCCCCAUAUCUCGAGGGAAAACUCUGGGACUUGGCAUUAUAUGUGUGGGAAUCUGGCCUUGGUUGGCACUCCCAGCAUGAUAGCAGGGUUCUGCUGUCUGAAUGUACUCUGGGGUGUGCGCCACAAUUUCUGUCAUCGAAAUGGAGAUGAGAGAAUAUGCCCUUGGUGGGGACACCCCACUGGAAUUAGAGUGAAGAGAUCAAAGCUAGAGGUUCUUAAAUCAAAGAAUGUCUAAUAGCAAAGACAAAAACUUGCUUAAGAGAAAUGCAUACAGGUACUAGACCUAAUAUGAUGAAAAAUGCUAACUUCAACAUAUUGAUGCAUGCUUAGUAUACUUUUAGUCCUGCAAAGACAAAAGUUUUUUGUUUGUUUUUUUUUGAGACGGAGUCUCGCUCUGUCGCCCAGGUUGGAGUGCAGUGGUGUGAUCUCGGCUUACUGCAAGCUCUGCCUCCUGGGUUCACACCAUUCUCCUGCCUCAGCCUCCGGAGUAGCUGGGACUACAGGCGCCCGCCACCACGCCCGGCUAAUUUUUUGUAUUUUUAGUAGAGAUGGGGUUUCACCGUGUUAGCCAGGAUGGUCUCGAUCUCCUGACCUCAGGUGAUCCGCCUGCCUUGGCCUCCCAAAGUGCUGGGAUUACAGGCAUGAGCCACCGCACCUGGCCCAGUCCUGCCAAGACAAAGUUUUAAAACACAGGUUGCACAUUGGCAGCUCUCAAGCCAAAUCUGGCCCAUAGACAUGGUUUGCUUGGCCUAUAAUGUUAGUAAUACUUGACCCAAGAUUUAAAAUUUGAAAAGUUUCAUAUAAAAAUAUAGAUUUACAGCUUUUCUAGAAAAACUAUAAGAGUUAACAGUUUCUGAAUUGCAACAGCAGCUGGAACACCGUUGCCACUGACCAUUUAGAUGACUGCUGCAGUCCCCACGGCUCACUCUGGUUCAGGUAGGGGUUCUAGUUUGUAACCCCUGGUUUAAAACAUAACUGACUCUCUAGUUUUUAAAAUUCUCUCAAAAUCAAAUAACCUGAACUAGCAAAUGAUCUAGAUCCUCGUACAUGGAACUCAUACUAAGUUGACCACAGACAGUGGCUCCCAAACUCUGCAGUACAUCAGAGUCACUGGGAAGCUUUAAAAAAUCCUGCUCCCUAGCUGGGUGCAGUGGUUUAUGCCUGUAGCCCCAGCUACUUGAGAGGCUGAGGUGGGAGGAUUGCUCAAGCCCAGGAGUUUGAGGCUGCAGUGAGCCAUGAAUGUACCACUACACUCCAGCCUGGGCAACAGAGCAAGACCCCAACUCUAAAAAAAAAUCCUGCUCCCCAGGUGACAGUAUCUGGGGGAAGGAGUAAGGCAUCUUAUUUUCAAAAGAUCAUAAGAAAAGAGGCUCAUUGCUGAGGCUCACUCCGGAGCCCACUUGGAUUCUUCACAAGAAAGUUUCCCUCUUCCAGAAUUUUAUAAUUGAGGGAACCGACUAGGGAAAGAUUAAUUUGCCCAAGGUCAAACAACUAGUAAAAGAAGUAAGGAUUCCAACCCAGAUCUUUUGACUCUAUUAUCCUUACAUAUAGUUUUAUAGUGAUUUAAAUUGAUACAAGGAUAGGUUUAAAUACAAGUAGAAUGCAGGUUCAUAUAAAACUGAUUUUAUCCUCAUGUUAGAAAACAUAUACACUGUAACAGAGGGAUGACCAUCAAGUGACCAAGAUAUUUUAGUCAAAAGAUGAAUUUUUCUGCAAUUGGAGAAUGCCAAAAAUAUUCAAAGAAAAUAUAAGUCUUGUAGGCAGUCUUCUAUCAAAACCCACUGAACCGCUGGGCACGGUGGCUCAUGCCUGUAAUUCCAGCACUUUGGGAGGCCAAGGCUGGUGGAUCACCUGAGGUCAGGAGUUUGAGACCAGCCUGGCCGACAUGGUCUCUACUAAAAAUACAAAAAAUUAGCUGGGCCUGGUGGCGGCACCUGUAAUCCCAGCUACUGAGGAGGCUGAGGCAGGAGAAUUGUUUGAACCUUGGAGGUAGAGGCUGCAGUGAGCUGAGAUAGCACCACUGCACUCCAGCCUGGGUAACAAGAGUGAAACUCCAUUCAAAAACAAAAAACAAACAAAAAAAAAACAAUGCACCAAAUACUAAGUUAUUAACUAGGAUACUGAUUAUUAAGCAUGUAAAACAUUUUAUGGAACUCAGAGUUUGAUGUAAAUUGCUAUAUUUUAUAAUUCAAACAAACCUUGUUUCAUGUCAUUAUAUUAGAGUAGCAUUAUGAGACAGGAUAUAGUGUAAGCUAUAUCCCCAAUAUAAUUGCAACUGUAUAUUUUAAAGCAUGGGGAAAAUAUGAAAAGAAUUAUGCUCAAAUGUGGGUAGGAUUAUAACUGAUUUGUUUUCUUCAUUUUCAGAUUUUUCUAUAAUGACUAUACAUUAUUUUUAUAGUCAAAAAUAGAAGUAUUUUAAAUGUUUCUAGGUAGAAUAGCAAAUUAGCUGAAAUAGUAUCUCCAACGUUAUUAUCAAGACUAGACUCCUUGGGUAAAUUGGUCAGAACAGUGUUGUUCUCAUUUUACACCUCUCCAAGAUUAACUAUGUUUUAGAUUUGUGUGUGUGUUUGGUUAAAGAGCCAGGAUGAAGAUCCAGAGUUCUUAAACCUGUAUACCACCAUACUACAUUGUCAUUUUAAAGAAAUGUCUAGUAGACUCGGUGGCAUAAACAUGGGCCAUUUACAAACUAGAUGUCUAAUAUCAGAUACCUCAAAUUUGACAGUAGACUUUUUUUCAAAGCUAAAGUGGUCUUAUGUUGACUAUUUUGUUUCUUACUUGAUACUUGUUUACUUUUUAAUUUUUGGCAAGUAAUGUUUCAAGUUAAAGUUUUAGCUAUAUAUAGCAGGCAGUAUUUCAAGUAAAUGAGUUACAUCAGUAAACACCUCUGUAUUACUAAACUGAGAAUCAGAAAAUGUAAUCUCUUUGGCAGGAUUCGUAUGUUUGUAUCACGUCUUUAUCCUCAGGCAACUUUUAUCUUGGAAUACUGAACCAGCAGUCAGAAUAUGAGGGACAUUAGACUGUGUUAUAGUUACUGUUCUGUCCUUAAGUCACUUGCCUUCUCUAAGUGUCAGUUGCCUCAUCUGAAAAUGGAGUUAGCAGACCCCAGCCUAUCCUGAGUUUGAGGGCUAAAGGGAAUUAUUCUUGAAAAUGUCUAUACAUGAUAAAUGUCACAAAUAUAACUUAGCAUUUUUUUUUUGAGACAGAGUUUCGCUCUUGUGGCCCAGGUCGGGGUGCAAUGUCGUGAUCUCAGCUCACUGCAACCUCUGCCUCCCGGGUUCAAGCGAUUCUCCUGCCUCAGCCUCCUGAGUAGCUGGGAUUACAGGCAUGCACCACCACACCUGGCUAAUUUUGUAUUUUUUAAUAGAGACGGGGUUUCACCAUGUUGGUCAGGUUGGUCUCGAACUCCUACCCUCCGGUGAUCCACCCGCCUUGGCCUCCCAAAGUGCUGGGAUUACAGGCAUGAGCCACCGCACCUAGCCAAUUCUACUUCUAUUACAUUUUCAGCAUAUAUCACUUCAUUGCUCCUCCAUAUUAUUUUUCACUGGUCUUCUUACAUCUUGUGUGCCCAUAUUUAAGUAGUUUUCUUUCCAGGUAAAAAAUACAUGUGUGCCUAAAAGAUUUUAAAGUCAACUUUUCAUAAACCAUACCUAAAUUAUCAAAGUUAUUAGAAUUAUUAGAAAGUAUUAGCUAAUUCUUUUAUAAAAUGUAGACUUUAUUAUUUUAGAAAUAUUGAUUCCUCUCUAUUCAGCUAUCUUAAAGAGGGUAUAUUUUAAUCAUCGCAAUAUAUUACCUUCAUAGUAUUUUUUACUUUUGCAAAGUAUAUUUUGUCAUGUUAUUUCAUUUAGGAAUGCACUAAAUCUACAUAUCUACAUAUGAUUAUACAAGGAAACAUCUUUGUCUCAAAAAUGGGUUCUAUUACAUUUUUUAAUUUCCAGGGGUCAUGAUAUAUAAAAAGACCUGAUUUAUCUUAAAAAUACAUACUUUUAUUCUUACCUACCAUACAUCUUUUUUUGUGAUAAUCAGAAGGCUUAAUUUACUAUAAAAUAGGAAAACAACAGCUAUGUUAGAUUAUAUAGUUAAUUUAGGGAUUAAAUGAGUUAAGGUCUACAAGCCCCUGGCACAUGGCAGACAAUCAAUAAUUGAUCAUUUCCUUUGCAUCUAUAAAUUUGUUCAUUCACUUCUCAUGUGGUUCUACCUUAGACAACGAUUUUUGUUUACAGAGACAAAUAGAAGUAUCUAAUCCUAAAUAACCCAAUCAAUUGGUAAAGGCUACACUACAAAGCUGGCAUGACUUCACCAAAUGCUAGAGAAACAGUGUUAAGAGUGACAACACUAAAAGUCUUACACUCUGAUGAUGCUAGUUGCCGCCGAAUUGCUUCCCCUACCAGUUCCUUAAGUUUCUUCUUAUGAUCCCGGCUGGUUUUCUUAUAGAAAUAAAGAUCUUUUUCCAACUGCUGGAUUUUAUCUUCAUAUGUUUUGAAAGUUUCCAUAAUGCCUUCUCCAUCUUGUUCUAUACAACAAAAAUUUGCAUUUAAAAUCAGUUUUAAAUAAAUGAUGCAAAAUUAUGUUUUUGUUUGUUUCUUUGUCUUUUUGAAACGGAGUCUUGCACUGUCGCCCAGGCUAGAGUGCAGUGGCGUGAUAUGCUCGGCUCACUGUAAGCUCCGCCACCCAGGUUCACACCAUUCUCCUGCCUCCGCCUCCCAAGUAGCUGGGACUACAGGUGCCCAGCACCACGCCCGGCUAAUUUUUUUGUAUUUUUAGUAGAGACGAGGUUUCAUCAUGUUAGCCAGGAUGGUCUCGAUCUCCUGACCUCGUGAACUGCC
rnacentral:lncRNA from 10 species